rnacentral:lncRNA from 1 species
CCAGGCCGGAGUGCAGUGGCACAAUCUCAGCUCACUGCAGCCUCUGCCUCCCAGGUUCAAGUGAUUCUCCUGCCUUAGCCUCCAGAGUAGCUGAGAAAUUACCAGUGCUUAAAAGGACCCAGCCUCUUGGUUUUGGUUUUAUUUGGUUGAGCCUCUGGGAUGGGGUGGGUGCUGGGGCUGUUUGAGAACUCCUGAACAAGCUGUGUAUUACAUGCAGGUGGGUGUUUUAAAAAUACAUACAUUUUAAAUUUUAGAAAUGGAAAAAACCACUCAACUUUGUGUAUGGGUUUCUAAAACCAUAACAUUCAGUCUGUUGGCUGAUGACUCAAGCGAAAGGCCUCUGUCUGCCGGAGCAGCAACAUCCUAGCAUCCUCCACUCCACAGGGAAUAAAGUGGCUUCUCUCUGUUUGCCCAGACGGCCCGUAGUCUCGCCCUUUUGUCCUUUGGCUGCAGGAGUCCAGCAGUACCACACUGGCCUCUGGUUUCUGCCCACAGCUUCUAUACAGGCCCCAAAACAGCCUGUGGGUGCCCAGGAUUUGCAUUUCUGCAAGUGACUGGAGGGAGGAGUCAAGGGAAGUUCACCAGAGAUGGUGGCCUUGGAUUGCACUGAGUCAGGCAAAGCUGCGGCUUGUGAGUGAAAUUUUCCAAGCAGACAGCAAGCUUCAAUGGAACAAAGUUAAUAAGCAACGGUUAAGGGAAAAGGUCUAUCUGGGGUUUACUCAGCAGCCGUCUCAACCUUUGGGAUGUAGAGUUCAAGGUAUACAGGGAGCCAAGGGCCCAGGGGCCACAGCCCAGGAUAAAUUCUUUCAUAUCAGGGCCCUGUUUCCAGGCUUCGGGGCAAUCUUU